AUGCAUGCUUGGUGGCAUGACAAAAGGAGUGCUAACUGGUAUAACUCAAAGGAGCCAGCACCCACCGUCUCACAGUUUGCUAAAAUGAAUACAUACUAUAUGAUGUCCGUGUCCUCAAACAUUCCUAUUUUUCUAGAUGCAGAGGCUGAGAGGACAUGCGACAAGCCCUUUGGAAGCCCAAGAAUAUACUCCAAUUGUGGCUUGGAGUCAAUAGUGUUGCAAACUAGGAAUGGAAGGCACCAGAAUGACAUGAGAUCUGCGGCGAAGCAAUACUCAAGCUGGCAAUGGGGAUUAUGCAACCGGGUACUGGACUCCCAUCCCCAUGCCCGUGACAGCCAUCCAUCCUCAUCCUCAUCCUCAUCCUCAUGCUCAUCCCCAUACCCGCCUAUGGGGAUAAAAAGUUUCCCAUCCAGCGGGGAUAAACGAGAGCUUUGCAUGCAUGUCUCUCUACAUGUAGUUGUGUAUAGGAACCUCGCCAUCAUCAAAUCUGGAAAGCCCAAAUCUAGGGUUUCCCCUGGGCAUACAGGGAACACGAAUCUCCGCAUACGCGUCCAACAAGAUCUCCACCGCAACUGCAUGCCAGAGCCACGGUGGAGGAAGGCCCUACUGCCGCCAUCCUCCCCACCUAGGCUUUUCCCCACGAAGCUCCGCCAGCGGCAAGGAGAGGGGCGUUGGUGGCUAGAAGCCCCAGAUUGGGUCGGGAGGGAGGAGAUCGGGAAGGAGGUGGGUGAAUUUCAUGCAGUUGUCAAUUGUAGCAAGGCACGCGCCCUAAGAUUUGAACUUCGAAAGAGGUGGUACCUACCCUCGGAAAAGUCCCUCAAGUAUGAAAAGGAGCUUGCCCAAUCCAUGGAUACUGAAGAUGGAUGCAAAGGCAAAGCUGAUCUGUUCCCCGAGGAACAGUCUACACCAGGAGGUGUUAGAGAAUUGAAUGAGUGGAUGUCGCCCCCGGCCCUAUCGAGACCUGGAAGAUGA
rnacentral:rRNA from 1 species